AGGCUGCAACUCGCCUACACGAAGUCGGAAUCGCUAGUAAUCGCGGAUCAGCAUGCCGCGGUGAAUACGUUCCCGGGCCCUUGUACACACCGCCCGUCACACCAUGGGAGUUUGUAACGCCCAAAGUCGGUGGCCUAACCUUUAUGGAGGGAGCCGCCUAAGGCGGGACAGAUGACUGGGGUGAAGUCGUAACAAGGUAAC
rnacentral:rRNA from 1 species